rnacentral:rRNA from 1 species
UACAGAGGGUGCAAGCGUUGUUCGGAAUUAUUGGGCGUAAAGGGUGCGUAGGCGGCCCACUAAGUCCGACGUGAAAUCCCCAGGCUUAACUUGGGAACUGCGUCGGAUACUGGUGGGCUUGAAUCCGGGAGAGGGAUGCGGAAUUCCAGGUGUAGCGGUGAAAUGCGUAGAUAUCUGGAGGAACACCGGUGGCGAAGGCGGCAUCCUGGACCGGCAUUGACGCUGAGUGAGCGAAAGCCAGGGGAGCAAACGGG